CAGAAUAUGCAGUUUAGGGUGUCGGUUACAUGGGGAGUUCACCUCUGAGAAGGUGGUUGGGUGAACUUGGAAUUAGAACACGGCAGUCGUCUGAUCCUGAGAGCAGAGGAACUGGCAGAUGACUCCCGCAGGCGAGGAAGCGGAGUUGGGAACGAGUCAGGACUCCAGUCCUGGUUCUUUUGAUUCCACCUAUGGUGACCUCUGAUCAAACACGAAGUUUUCCUCACACGGAGUUAAUUUAAAGAUCCGUAAAAUGAAAA